rnacentral:rRNA from 1 species
UUUUUUUUGUUUUGAAAAACUCUAAUGUAACCCCCUUCCCGUUAGGUGAACCUGCGGAGGGAUCAUUACCGAGUUUACAACUCCCAAACCCAAUGUGAACCAUACCAAACUGUUGCCUCGGCGGGGUCACGCCCCGGGUGCGUCGCAGCCCCGGAACCAGGCGCCCGCCGGAGGGACCAACCAAACUCUUUCUGUAGUCCCCUCGCGGACGUUAUUUCUUACAGCUCUGAGCAAAAAUUCAAAAUGAAUCAAAACUUUCAACAACGGAUCUCUUGGUUCUGGCAUCGAUGAAGAACGCAGCGAAAUGCGAUAAGUAAUGUGAAUUGCAGAAUUCAGUGAAUCAUCGAAUCUUUGAACGCACAUUGCGCCCGCCAGUAUUCUGGCGGGCAUGCCUGUCCGAGCGUCAUUUCAACCCUCGAACCCCUCCGGGGGGUCGGUGUUGGGGAUCGGGAACCCCUAAGACGGGAUCCCGGCCCCGAAAUACAGUGGCGGUCUCGCCGCAGCCUCUCCUGCGCAGUAGUUUGCACAACUCGCACCGGGAGCGCGGCGCGUCCACGUCCGUAAAACACCCAACUUCUGAAAUGUGACCUCGAUCAGUAGAUACCCGCUGACAU